GGUUGAUAGGUCAGAGGUGUAAGUGUGGUAACAUAUUUAGCUGACUGAUACUAAUAGGUCGAGGGCUUGACCAA
rnacentral:rRNA from 1 species